rnacentral:rRNA from 1 species
AGAGUUUGAUCCUGGCUCAGGAUGAACGCUAGCGGCAGGCCUAACACAUGCAAGUCGAGGGGCAGCAUAUCGCUUCGGUGAUGAUGGCGACCGGCGCACGGGUGAGUAUCGCGUUUGUAACCUACCCUUAACAGGGGGAUAGCUUCCGGAAACGGAAAUUAAUACCUCAUAAUAUUUAAGCACGGCAUCGUGCUUUCAUUAAAGCUCCGGCGGUUAAGGAUGGGCAUACGUGACAUUAGUUUGUUGGUAAGGUAACGGCUUACCAAGACUACGAUGUCUAGGGGGUCUGAGAGGAUGAUCCCCCACACUGGUACUGAGACACGGACCAGACUCCUACGGGAGGCAGCAGUGAGGAAUAUUGGGCAAUGGACGAAAGUCUGACCCAGCCAUGCCGCGUGCAGGAUGACGGCCCUAUGGGUUGUAAACUGCUUUUAUACAAGAAGAAACCCUUCUACGUGUAGAAGGUUGACGGUACUGUAAGAAUAAGCAUCGCUAACU